ACAUAUAUUCCUAACGGUCCUCAUCCRCGAGGGUGAGGAAUCAACCGCUAGGAUMGUUUACUUUGAGGAAAUUAGAGUGUACAAAGCAGGCGUAACUCGCCUCMGAAUACGUUAGCAUGGGAUAAUGGAAUACGACUUCGGUCUUGUUUCGUUGGUUUCGCUUGGCUGAAGUAAUGAUUGAUAGGGACAGUUGGGGGCAUUAGUAUUUAGUUGUCAGAGGUGAAAUUCUAGGAUUUACUAAAGACUGACCAAUGCGAAAGCAUUUGCCAAGGAUGUUUUCAUUAAUCAAGAACGAAAGUAGGGGGAUCGAAGACGAUCAGAUACCGUCGUAGUCUCUACCGUAAACUAUGCCGACCAGGGAUCCGGAGAGUUUGCAUGGAUGACUCCCCGGGCACCUUGUGAGAAAUCAUAAGUGUUUGGGUUUUGGGGGGAGUAUGGUCGCAAGGCUGAAACUAAAGGAAUGACGAAGCACCCCAAUGUC
rnacentral:rRNA from 1 species